GUUCGAAAUUUCUGAUGGAGAGCAUAUGAGGGCAAGAGGAAAAUUCACUGGUUGGCUUGGCCAAAAAAAUUGGCGCAGAAAACUCAGGGCGGAUUGGGCUUCAGGGACUUCAGGGUUUUCAACCAAGCUCUACUCGCCAGACAAGCGUGGCGUUUGCUAACCAAGCCUAAUAGUUUGUGUGCGCAGGUACUAAAGGCUCACUACUAUCCUGAUGGCCGCCCUGAGGACAUAGUGUACUCCGGAAAUGCCUCCCCUACCUGGCAGGCUAUCCAGCAUGGCCUUGAGCUCUUGAAGAAGGGCCUCAUCCGGCGUGUUGGCGAUGGACAACACAUCCGCAUCUGGCGUGAUCGUUGGGUGCCCCGGGAGCCAUUGCGCCAACCCAUCACACAACAAGGCACCUGCCGGCUGAGGAGAGUAGCAGAACUUAUGGACGAUGAAGGGUUCUGGCGCAUGGACCUGCUUCGACACUAUUUCCUCCAGGCGGACAUUGAGGCGAUCACCAGCAUCUGCACAUCGCCUCGCAUCCCCGAUGACAUUAUUGCAUGGGUGCCAGAAAGAGAACGAUAUCUUCACCGUUCGGUCCGCCUACCGCUUCGCCAUGGACGAGCAUGA
rnacentral:rRNA from 1 species